rnacentral:lncRNA from 1 species
CCCACUCAGGGACGGUUUAGAAGAGGCUGAGGGCGGCGGAACCCGGAUAGCUAGGGAAGUCCUCUGGGGAUUGUGGCAGAGACAAACUUCAACCCUCCCCUACCAGAGCCCGGAAGCCAUGGAAGAUCGCUGAGCAAUGGCCCCCCAGCCAGGUGCUACAUAGGAAAGUGGAAGCAUCUACCUUUCUCCUUCAGUUCCCCAAAGGGGCCCCCAAGAUCACAACCCAAGUCUGGCCCUGCUCAGGGGGACCAGCUCCCCCACCCACUACUGCUGGGGUGCUGACUUUUGUGCCUUUUGUGCCUUCCCAUUGCAGGACACGCCCAGUCCCUCCCUCCCAAGGCUCUGGGCUGAGGCGAUAUUCCCAAGGGCCAUGGAGUUUGCAUAGCAGAGGCAGAGCAAGACCAGAGGCAAGGAGGGACUUAGAGGAUCAGAUAGAGGCAGCCUCCUUCGCAUCCAGCUCCCAGACCUCCGGUUCUUUACGGGCCUACAGCAACAGCUUCCUGUCCUUCGCACAAGACCCACCCACAGAUGCAUGUGCGUUCAAGGGAGAAUGAGUGACUCACAUUGGGUGCUCAACAUCAGCCCACCCAGACAUGCUCAGAGAUACAAGCAAGGAACACAGUAUGGAGCCCAAUGCCAGGGGUAAGUAAAUCCCACAGCAUGACAUGGCAAAGGCCCCAUAA